GCAAACUUGGUCAUUUAGAGGAAGUAAAAGUCGUAACAAGGUUUCCGUAGGUGAACCUGCGGAAGGAUCAUUCAUAAUAAAAGUGUUUAUGGCGCUUUUUAAAUAAUCCAUAUCCACCUUGUGUGCAAUGUUAAUUUCUAUCAACUUGUAUCACUUUUAAUCUUUUUUUAUCUCAAUUCCAAAAAAAAAAAUAUAACUUUCAACAACGGAUCUCUUGGCUCUCGCAUCGAUGAAGAACGCAGC
rnacentral:misc_RNA from 1 species